UUGCCUCAAAUUAAUGAGUAAGGAUAAUAACUUCAUUGGGUGAUGCCAAUGAUAAUUAUAAAAAAAUUUUUUCUUAAAAUUUUUUUAUAAUUAAAUUAAUUUUAUAUAUUUUUGAAGGGUAAAGGCUGACCUAUGGGUGGGAUGCUUUAUUCUCUUCAUAAAGCGACCUGCCGUUGUUGUUGGUCUCC
rnacentral:snRNA from 1 species